rnacentral:rRNA from 1 species
GACGAACGCUGGCGGCGUGCCUAAUACAUGCAAGUCGAACGCACUGGGGACGGGUGAGUAACACGUGGGUACCCUCCCAUCAGAGGGGAUAACACUUGGAAACAGGUGCUAAACCGAUACUGAUGGAUGGACCCGUGGUGCAUUAGCGAGUUGGUGAGGUAACGGCUCACCAAGGCCACGAUGCAUAGCGGACCUGAGAGGGUGAGCGGCCACACUGGGACUGAGCCACGGCCCAGACUCCUACGGGAGGCAGCAGGGGGGAAGCUUCGGCAAUGGACGAAAGUCUGACCGAGCAACGCCGCGGGAGUGAAGAAGGUUUUCGGAUCGUAAAACUCUGGUGUUAGAGAAGCGGUAUCUAACCAGAAAGCCACGGCUAACUACGUGCCAGCAGCCGCGGUAAUUC